AGGAAGUAUUUGGAAGAUCCUUGUGUGUGGGUAGAAUCAAACACGACGACCUUGAACAUACUCUCUUCACAUGCUGAGAUUAGAGUUGGCUUCCUUCUAAUCGUUUCGUUACUCUCGUUGCAACGUAAUAUCACACAAAUUUUCAUGUACUGGCAGCUUUUGAAGCUUAUGUACAUGCUUCGGUUAGUUCCGGAUACCACCAAAGUUUUGGGGCAAAGAUUGUGAGGACGGCUAAUCCUCUUGUCCAGCGUUAUGUGCCAUUUUUGGACGCUCCAGUAUCCACAAUUCUGCGAUGGUGGUUCAGGUAGUAGCCGAAAACAGGUGAUAGAUAGAUCAACAUGAACCAUUGGUUCAGUUAACAGUUGAAAAAUAUUGAUAAACAUGAAGCCUACAUGUGCUUU